rnacentral:pre_miRNA from 1 species
GAUUUCAACUGAAAAAGUCAUCAGAAUGAAAGUUGUAUAACUCAUCAAGAUCUAUAACUUUUAUUUGGGUCUUUUCUUUAUCCGACAAAGCGGUUUGUAACUUUGUUCACAAAAUGUAUAUAUCUUUAUAUAGUUUAUAAACUAUAAGAGAAAUAUGUAAAUUUUAUGAACAAUGUUACUAUUAUUUUGUAUAAUUAAGAAAUGAUCAAAAGAAAAGUUAUUGAUAUUGAUGAGUUAUACAACUUUGUUGUUGGUGACUUUUUCAGUUGAAAUC